AGGACGAACGCUGGCGGCGUGCUUAACACAUGCAAGUCGAGCGGAAAGGCCCUUCGGGGUACUCGAGCGGCGAACGGGUGAGUAACACGUGAGCAACCUGCCCUCAGCUCUGGGAUAGCUCCCGGAAAACGGGAAUUAAUACCGGAUACGACCACGGCCGACAUCUGCUGUGGUGGAAAGGAUUCCGGCUAAGGAUGGGCUCGCGGCCUAUCAGCUAGUUGGUGGAGUAACGGCCCACCAAGGCGACGACGGGUA
rnacentral:rRNA from 1 species